rnacentral:rRNA from 1 species
GAUGAACGCUGGCGGCGUGCCUAAUACAUGCAAGUCGAGCGAAUGGAUUAAGAGCUUGCUCUUAUGAAGUUAGCGGCGGACGGGUGAGUAACACGUGGGUAACCUGCCCAUAAGACUGGGAUAACUCCGGGAAACCGGGGCUAAUACCGGAUAACAUUUUGAACCGCAUGGUUCGAAAUUGAAAGGCGGCUUCGGCUGUCACUUAUGGAUGGACCCGCGUCGCAUUAGCUAGUUGGUGAGGUAACGGCUCACCAAGGCAACGAUGCGUAGCCGACCUGGGAGGGGGAUCGGCCACACUGGGACUGGGACACGGCCCAGACUCCUACGGGAGGAAGCAGUAGGGAAUCUUCCGCAAUGGACGAAAGUCUGACGGAGCAACGCCGCGUGAGUGAUGAAGGCUUUCGGGUCGUAAAACUCUGUUGUUAGGGAAGAACAAGUGCUAGUUGAAUAAGCUGGCACCUUGACGGUACCUAACCAGAAAGCCACGGCUAACUACGUGCCAGCAGCCGCAGUAA